rnacentral:misc_RNA from 1 species
GUCGACAUUCUCUGCCUUCAACUUCACCUUAAUCUUUGCAGGUUCCAGUAUGACCUUUUCAGUAUCAUCCAUUAGUGAAGAAUGUGACACCUUCUUCUCCUCAUCGAUAACCCUUUCUAGCUUUGGGACUACAAAGUGCUUCAUCACUGAUGAAGUCAGAUAGCCAGCUUUCUUCACAUUCAUAAUUUCAGCGGUAUCCUUGACAGCAAACAGGUCAGAGAAUCCAUUAGUUACAUCACUGAGCUGAAAUUGUGUAUUCUUUAGCUUCUCAGUCCAUGUCUCUAAAAGAUUCCCUUCAGGAGCUUCUCUCGCGAUGUGUCCAACAACGGGCACAUUUGACUCUGACUGAUCUUGCAUUGCUCGAAAAAUUGCAUCCAUUGCACCAGUCCCGUCAUCUUUUUUAGACCUCACGUGCAUUACAACAUCCACUCCCACAACAUCCUUGGAGGUUUUCUUGACAGCUUCAAGUAAGGAGGCCUUCUUCUGGCUACAGAGAAAAUGGAUCUGCUUCUUCAUGAAAACCAUGAUAGUAUCAGGAAAUUCAUACCCAACUAACCACAUAUUUAAAGCUGACGACUUCAGAUACCGCAAAUCCUCAGAUGGAGGAGGAGUUCCUAUGGCAAGAGCUUCAGAAGCUCCCCAAAGUUCAUCAUUGUGUUCAGUCCAGUGGGAGUAUAAUGUUUUUAGUCUUUUACCGAAGUUCUCCAGAUUGAUGGCAUAAGGAUUGGCUGUUCCGGAUGCUUUGUCAUUAGAAGCCUUGACAUUACUAUUCCGGGUAUCAGCCAUCGAGUAGGACGAAUACAAGCCCUUAAACCCUCAAUAAAGUGCAGAGCCAAGCGUGAUGAUAACUUUGCAAUUGACUCUGCUUUUCAGGAACAAACCUUUCUCCGAUCCUCUAAUAUCCUGAUCAUGAACCGAGCUUUGUGACGCCGAUACAGAUCUGAUGCAAUUACGAUCUCUUAUAUUAAACAGGAUCGACGAAGACGAUCAUUUUUAUCAAUGGAGGAAUUUAAAG